rnacentral:rRNA from 1 species
GACGUAGGGCGCGAGCGUUGUCCGGAUUUAUUGGGCGUAAAGAGCUCGUAGGCGGCUUGUCGCGUCGUCCGUGAAAACCAGGGGCUCAACCCCUGGCUUGCGGUCGAUACGGGCAGGCUAGAGUUCGGUAGGGGAGACUGGAAUUCCUGGUGUAGCGGUGAAAUGCGCAGAUAUCAGGAGGAACACCGGUGGCGAAGGCGGCUAUCUGGACAGAGUCUGACGCUGAGGCGCGAAAGCUAGGGGAGCAAACAGG